rnacentral:tRNA from 1 species
GCGCCGGUGGUGUAAGGCGUAGCAUCGUUGCCGGAAAGCAGAUGGUGCAGGUUCGAGUCCCGCCUGGCGCA